UACAGAGGUCUCAAGCGUUGUUCGGAAUCACUGGGCGUAAAGGGCGCGUAGGCGGCCGCUCAAGUCGGGGGUGAAAGCCUGUGGCUUAACCACAGAAUUGCCUUCGAUACUGUUUGGCUUGAGACCGGAAGAGGUUAGUGGAACUGCGAGUGUAGAGGUGAAAUUCGUAGAUAUUCGCAAGAACACCAGUGGCGAAGGCGGCUGACUGGUCCGGUUCUGACGCUGAGGCGCGAAAGCGUGGGGAGCAAACAGG
rnacentral:rRNA from 1 species